GAUGAAGAACGUAGCGAAAUGCGAUAACUAAUGUGAAUUGCAGAAUUCAGUGAAUCAUCGAAUCUUUGAACGCACAUUGCGCCCCCUGGUAUUCCGGGGGGCAUGCCUGUUCGAGCGUCAUUUCACCACUCAAGCCUCGCUUGGUAUUGGGCAACGCGGUCCGCCGCGUGCCUCAAAUCGACCGGCUGGGUCUUCUGUCCCCUAAGCGUUGUGGAAACUAUUCGCUAAAGGGUGCUCGGGAGGCUACGCCGUAAAACAAACCCAUUUCUAAGGUUGACCUCGGAUCAGGUAGGGAUACCCGCUGAACUUAAGCAUAUCAAUAAGCGGAGGA
rnacentral:misc_RNA from 1 species